UGAAGGCUUCCAUGAACAUGGGUAAAUGAGGAUUUCAGGGCGAAGGUGUGGAGGGGUGCCGAGAAGGCGUAAUGGAGGUUGAGAAGUUUGUCAUCGGUGGCUCCUAAACCUGGUGCACAUGGAGGGGCGGAGAGGGGCGGAGAUAUUUUAGAGUGAUGUCGAAGAUAGCUUGGAAAUGCACAUUCCCUCUUUGGAGAAGCAGGAGAUUUACCGCAGAAAACGGCUACACAAAUCCAAGGAAGCUUAUCAGCAAAUUAUCCAACUGUUCCAGUACUCACCUGUAGCUGUAAUCACUGGAGGGACUAGGUGUGGCAGAAUCCAAAUGUGGGUUGAUGGAGCUCAUUGGGGCAAAUUUCAUCACUAAAAUGGUGGAGAGACAUGGUUUGCUGAUAGAAGUUCCACUUGUUUUUCUGCGCACAGCAUGGGUGGAACUUCAUGUUGCUGAAGGCGUGUCUAGCUUGAACCAUGGAGUAUGUAGCAAUGAUCAAGUACUAUCAAAAGUGCGGAUCUACAAGUCAUGACAUGGUGAAUUGCUCGGUGCGUACCCCUAGAAGCUGAACCAGAAGUGAGUGAUAGCAACAAGUGCAUGCAGGUGAAACUAGUGCACUGAAACCCUACACCCAAACCAAAGGUGUCAUAGCUGCUUGUAUUGCUUUUCGUAGAUCCUGAAAGCAAUAGAUUUUACGUCUAGGCUAAGAAGGUGAAAUCGGAACCAGAUCAAAUGGUUGUCUCCCUGAGAUAUAGCUGUUUGGGAUAUAUCGGUUUUUGCUCUUACACUGCCUGUGCACCUGUGUCAAUUCCUACGAAGGCAAUGGUAAUUAAUUAUGUGGCUUAUAGCGUGGUAGCCAAUUAUGUGGCCUAUAAUUUAUCGCGCUAACUCCUGUUUGCACCUUCAAAUGGCUACCAGAACACACACACACACACACAAAACACAAACAAUUAGUGAUAUGCAUGCAUAAUUCUUGAAGAUUUCUCAAAAUCUUUGCUAUGCAAUUAUUCUGAAGUCCUUGCAAUCUACCCUCUCAGGAAACAGGUUGCCUUCAAUCAUGAACCACCGGAGAAUCAACCUUUCAUAUGGGAGUCUUUUUGUUUAGAUUCUGUCGCCUUUAAUUGGUGAAAUCCCAUUUGAACAUGUGAAACAGUGAAAGUAUAGGUUAUCUUUGCA